UAGGGAAUAUUAGAAAUGGACGAAAGUCUGAUCUAGCAACACCGCGUGUGCGAAGAAGGCCUUCGGGUUGUAAAGCACUUUUUGGAAGGAUUAGGAAGGAAUGUACUUCCAGAAUAAGUCUCGGCUAACUACGUGCCAGCAGCCGCGGUAACACGUAGGAGGCAAACGUUAUCCGGAUUUACUGGGCGUAAAGCGCGUGUAGGUGGUUUGGUAAGUAGAGCGUGAAAGCUCCUGGCUCAACUGGGAGAGGUCGUUCUAAACUGCCGGACUAGAGGAUGGUAGAGGGAGGUGGAAUUCCGGGUGUAGCGGUGAAAUGCGUAGAGAUUAGGAAGAACACCAGUGGCGAAGGCGACUCUCUGGACUGUAACUGACGCUGAGGCUCGAAAGCGUGGGGAGCAAACA
rnacentral:rRNA from 1 species